AUACUGGGAGAAAUUCCAGUGAUGUACAAAACAAAAUAUUUCAAUAUAAUUUUAAUUUUUAAAAAGAUAUCAUUCUUCUUAGGGUUCUCUAGUGGUGUGAACUAUGGAUCUUUUCUUGAACCUGUUUCUUGAACUGUUGUCAGCAGCUUGUUUGAAGCCAUUGAUAGCAUGAUCAUUAAAUUUGCAGGUGACCCAAAGCUAGAUUGGAAAGCUAGCACAUUGGUUGGCAGAAGCAGAAUUAAAAAUUUCUUUAACAAACUAGAAUAUUGAAUUUACUAAGACAAAAUUUAACAAAGAAAAAUCAAAAGUCUUACACUUGAGCUCAGAAAAUCAUUUUCAAAGUUUAGAAUUAAGAAUAAUUGUUAGAUAUCACUUCAUAUGUAAAUAGUUUAGGGCAGAAGUUAUAGACAAAUGAUAUGUCAACUUCAUAUGGCCCUCAACACUCCUGAUCAUAGCCAAAACAAGAUUAAAAUGUAUUUUCUUUAGGAUUUUAAUGACCUGAUGGAUUAUGCUCCUUUGAAAAAGAAAUAUAUAAAUGUGUAGUUUUCUAAAGUAUGCCUUUGCAAAAUACCUUCUUUCAGUUCACAGCAAUUCUUAUUUAUAUUCUACUUGCCAACAUUUCUAUUUUAAUUUGACCAUAUAGGUCUAGUGGACAGCACUUCAAUAAAAUUCAGCAUUGUUAUUUUGCAGAUAGUAAGCUAAAGAAACAUUUGAUUGAAUUGAGAGCCAUACAUAGCUUCAAGAAUGAAAAACAUCUGAAUGCUGCCUUCAUAAUGUCCAUUUCAAGCUGAACCCAAUGCAGCCUGUGUGAGAGUCAAAAUUGCAUAUUCUCCUCCCCAGACCAGCAGGAUGGCAGGCAAUCAUUCUGCACAGCCUUAAUCCCUUGUUGCUGUGUAACCUGUUCUUGUUCCCUCCCUACCAUCCUUGAGCAGCAGUAGAAGACAGUAAGAUAAGUGUGCACAAAGACACUUGUGCGUGAAGGAGAUUUAAGUGGAAAAGUCGAUGCACAGAGACAGUCCCACUCUCUUGGUGUUGGAAGCCUGGGUCCAGUGGCACGAAAAGUCAUUACACCUGGAGACUUCCUCAGCUACAUUGGAUGGCCAUGUUGUCUUUUGUACUCCAACACGCCCUAAGCACUCCACAGUGCUUUGCUGUGUUGCCCUCUCAGCCGUUGAACCUUCUUAUUGGUUUCUUCCGUCUGUUCCGCUGAAGCAGUCUUCACAUGCUGGGAGAAUCCUGAUGCAAUCAAGUCUUCUAGAAAUUAUUAUAACAGCUUUACAAUGGCUUUAAAAUGAACAUAUUCAAGCUAAUUAACAUCUCCUAGAAAUUGGAGGAUAACUUCUGCUGAGGAUACAUCAAAGCAAGUAAGUAUUUUAAAGAAAAGAUCAGGAAGUCUGAGACAAAUACAAAGAGGGGAGUAGUUGGGACUGAUGAGAGGAUUAGUAAAGCCAUUCAUCUUGACCUCUUGGAAGAAGAUACAAUCCAAAAAAAAAAAGAUAGAAUAGGAGAGUCUUCUAAGACAAAAGGGUACUCAAGAUUGUACUUAAGGUUUGAUCUCAGGUACUUCAGGAUCUAAGACCAACAGUCAGAGACUCCUGCUUAGGGCCAUUCCCAGAUAAGACUCACUUAAAGCUAUGAAACCGUUGUAAGAAUGGGGGAGGGGGGUUGUUGAGAAACAUCAGCUUUUAGAUAUUAAUAACUUGAGAAUAAUAUACUGAUUUCUCACUCAACACAUAAAUGAACAAAUUUAGUUAUCAAAAAUAAAUGAAUCUCUUUUUAACAUAAUCAGAAUCUUCUUUGGUAAAUGCCCUCCCUACAGGCAGGAAUUCUGUUUUGGAACCCUUUCUUGAAUCUUGAAUGAUGUGUAUUGAUUACUCAGCACUUACUAAAUGCCUAUUGGUUGAAUCUUGACUUUACAGUGUUGGAAAUUUUAAUGCUUAGAUAACUAUAGAUCAUCCAGGAUCAGGAGGUACACUUUUUUUUUAAAAGUCACCAUUUUUAAUAUAGAAAACAUAUUAAAUAACUUGGUCAGUGUUUCCUUAAUAUUUGAUACUUAUUUAAAAAAUUAAUUGAUUAAGGAUGCAAUUGUGCAGUCAUUUUACUGACAUAAAAAUGAGGCAGAAUUUCUAAGAAAGAGAAAAUAUCCUGAAAAAUGUAAGAAAUCAGUAAUAAAAUUCAAGAAAAUGAAAUACCAGAUAACAAGAAGAAAGAUAAGUAACAAAGGAAAGUUAGAAACAUCCUGGAACAUUUUAAAUUAAAUAUAGUUCCCCACACAAAUCUUUAGCAUUUCUCUAAGUUACCAAUAAAGCUCAACAGCAAGAAAGGGAAAUCCUAUUUAAAUUAACUAUAGGAAAAAAAAAAACUAGAAAUCUACUUGCCAAGAAAAACCCAUAUGGUCACAACUACAAAACACUUUUUAGACAAAUCAAAUCAGAUCUAAAGAACUGGAAAAACAUUAAUUGUUCAUGGGUAGGUUGAGCCAAUAUAAUAAAAAUGACAAUUCUACCUUAAACUAAUUCAUUUAUUCAAUACCUUGCCAAUUAAACUACCCCAAAAUUAUUUCACAUAGCUAGAAAAAAUAAUAACAAUUCAUCAGGAAAAUCAAAAGACCUAGAUUAUGAAGGGUGUCAACAUGGAAUCAAGAAACUUCAAACUUGAAGCCUAGUAAGAUCUGAUGAAUCCCAAGUUAUAGGACUAGCUUGUAAGUUGGAGACCCCAAAGUUUGUCCUUGUCCUCUGUUCUGCUGUGAAUCUACCCUGAUGGGAAUCCCAGUUUCAGAAUGAAUAAUGGACCAUAAGGUAAAUGACAAUUCCAGUUAGGUGAAGUUGAGCAUAAGCCAAGUGACUCUUUUUGCCUUAGAAACUUCUCUGUUUUACCACAUUCCCCUUUUGGGGAUUGAACUCAGGAUCUUCAGCUUACUAGACUGAAGAGCUGCCUACUACACUAAAGAGUCACUUAGCUUAUGCUUAGCUUCAUCUAACUGGGAUUGUCAUUUACCUUAGGGUCCAUUAUUCAGUCUGAAACUGCUAGCCUGGGAUUAUCCUCAGUGUAGAUUCUCAGGAGAAAAGGAACAAGGACAAGCUUUGGGGUCUCCAAAUUAUAAGUUAGUCCUAAAACUUGGGGUUCAUCAGAUUUUACUAGGAUUCAAGUUUGGGGUUUCUAGAUUUCAUGUUGACAAGGGAAAAAUAUAUGAAGGAAGGUUGCUUGACUCUACCAGAUCUUAAUGUAUAUUACAAAGUGGAAAUCAUCAAAAUAAUAUAUUAAUGGCUAAGAAAUAGAGAGGAGGAUCAAUGGAAUAGAUUAGGCACUCAAUUCACAAUGGUAAGUGAUCAAAGUAACAUAGUGUUUGACAAAUUCAAAGAUCCAAGCUUUUGGAAGAAGAGGCCACUAUUCGACAAAACUACUGGGAAAACUGGAAAACAGUAUGGCAGAAGUCAAAGACUAAUACUUCAUACCACGUAUCAAAGUAAAGUCAAAAUGACAUGGGCACUGUACCUCCAGAAGCUCAGGCAAACUAUUAUCAGGGAAGUUCCUUUGCUCCCUUACAUCCUCAUGACUCCUAGCCUAAAAAAUCAAAUGACCCCUAUAGGACCUUGACAUGAUUGUCCUCCUUUGAUCAUCCUUUAGAUUUAAGAUGGACAGAGAGAUGUACCUCCAGGCUACACCUUGAUCCUAUCAGGCUACAUCUCAGACAUCUGUCUGUUCCCUAAAACUAAGGAAUCUUUAUGAGGGUCAUUUCCUAUGUCUCCAGGCAGACCCCAGUCAGAUGACCACCCCACCCCCCACUGAAUGCCUGAGUGGCUACCACUCUAGAGUCACGACCACUCUAAAGUCAUGUCCACACUAUGACACAGCAUUUGUUGCAAGAGUAUAAAAUCUCUAGAAUUGAUGGGUUCUGGGAGCAGCCUGCUGUUCCUCCUUGCUAUUCUCCUGGCCAUUCUCAACAUUAUUUUCCUAAAUUAAUAAAUUUCUCUUUUUGUUUUUAAGCUAAAUUUUGGAGUCUUGCAUUCUUGCACAAGGUAUCCUUCCCAAACCCCAGGGGUACACAUCUGAACCCCAUAACAAAAAUAGAUACACCAUUUAGAAAUAAAGGGUGAUAGCACAAACAAAUUAGGGAUGCCCAAAGUAGUUUACCUGUCAUACUUAUGGAUAAGGAAAGAAUUUAAGACAAAACAAGACACAUAGAAUUUUAUGACAGGUAAAAUAGAUAACUUUGACUUCAUUUAAAUAAAAAAACAUUUUGUACAAAAAAAUUCAUGCAUCCAAGAUUAAAAGGCAAAAAAUUAAUUAGGGAAAAUAUUUAUAGCAAGUAUCUCUGACAAAGGGUUUAUUUAUGUAAAAUAUUGAGUCAAAUUUAUAAGAAUAUAAAGCAUUCCUCAAUUGAUGAAUGAUCAAAGGAUAUGAACAAGCAAUUCUCAAAUGAAAUGAAAAUUAUCUUUAGAUUCAUGAAAAAUUACUAUAAAUCAAUAUUACUUAGAUAAAUACAAAUUAAAACAAAUCUGAGGUACCACCUCACAACUACCAGGCUGAAUAACAUGACAAAAAAGGAAAAUGAUAAAUUUUUGAAGGGAUAUGGAUAAAUUGGGAGCCUAAUGACCUCUAGGUGGAACUUAUGAAAUUAUAACUAUUGUUCUGGAACCAUGCCCAAAGGGCCAUCGAACUGUGUCCUUUGACCCAGCAAUAUCACUAGUAGUUCUGUAUCCCAGAGAGAUUAAAAAGAGAAGAAAAGAACCUACUGAUAUAAAUAUCUUUAUAGUACCCUUUUUUUGUGGUGGCAAAGAACUAGAAACUGAAGGAAAUGGCUUAACAAAUUGUGAUAUAUGCAUUUAAUGGAAUACUAUUGUGUCACAAGAAAUAACAAAUAAGAUUAUCAUAAAAAAUUCAAAAGAUUUAUAUGACAUGAACAAAGUGAAGAAAGCAGAACCAGGAGAACAUUUUACAGAGUUACAAAAAUAGUGUAUGACUUUCGACUAUGAUAGCUAUAAUCAAGGCAAGAAUCCAAAACAACUCCAAGGGACUUAUGUUGAAAAAGGAUAAUAGAAGGAACAGAUGGAGUCAAAUGGAUUGAAACAUCCUAUUCUCUUUAUUUCAUCCAUGAAUUUUUCACUAGUAUAAGCAAAAUGUGUCUUAUUUCACAACAUGAUGAACAUGGAAAUAUUUAUUAUAUGUUGAUAUAUACAAACUAUAUUUUAUUAUCUGCCUUUUGGGGGAGGUUGGUGAGGUGGGAGGGAAGGAGAGAACAUAGAUUGCAAAAUAUCAGAAAACAAAUACUAAAAAUUAUUUUGAUGUAUAAUCUAGAAAAAAAUUUAAAAAUUAAAAUUAAGUAUAAUUCAGCCCCUCUAGCAAUAAGGCAUAUAAAGUAGGCAUUUCUACAUGCCAUGCUGUACCAUGCCAUUUUACAUGGCAUCAUCUAUAUGUCAGAAGGAGAGGAUGAGUGGCAGAUGUCCAAUUAAGUAAUCUCCAUAUCGUUAAUAAAUGCACUGAGCAAUUUAAAAAAUCACAACAGGAAUAUUAUUAAAUCUGGAUACCAAGAAACACAGAAGUGUAGAGCCAAGUUAGGAAAGGUAGAACAAGAAAAAAGAUAACAAUUAAAUUUAGUAAGAAAAUAUGUUAAAUGUAAAGAAAAAGACCCACGGAUAUCCUAUUUCUUUUGUAUAGUAUUUUCAGUCAUAUCUGACUCUUCCUUUCUCUAUUUGGGAUUUCGUUGGCAAAGAGACUAGAAUGAUUUGUCAUUUCCUUUCCCAGCUCAUUUUACAGAACAAGAAACUGAGACCCUGUGACAAGGAAAUCACUUUAAAAGACUGAUAUAUAUUAAUUUAAGGUCGCCAAGGAAUUCAGCUAUGUAAUUCCUAAAUGAAAACUCAAGUCAGCCGUCAACCUUUUAUAGAGUUUAAUUAUAAACAGGAGGAAGAAAGGAAUUAGAGAUAGACAGAGAGAGAGAGAGAGAAAGGGGAGAGAAGGGAAUAGGGCUUAAAUACCCCCUUCUGUUUAGGCUGGGUCAAAAGGCCCAAGCCCUUAGAUAGCUGGGGCAAAGAAAGGAGAUCAGUCCCUAUUACUCACGUGACCAAAAUGGAGAAACAGUCUCAGAGGCCUUCACCUCCAACUUCCUUCAGAGCAAGCUUCUCAGAGCACCUCUCCAACCACACAGAGCCAAAACUCUCCAACCAACCCCCUUAGUCCUCAGACCCCUCUAUCUUUAAGGAAACCAUCCAAGUUCCCUCCCCUCAGUUCUCACAUCUACCAAUCACUGUCCAUCAUUUUCCCUGUGCCAAUGGUGGCUCUAGCUUAACCCAGGACCGCCCAGAGGUCUGUGGCUUUGCACAUGUAUGUUGAAGGUCAUAUUCUCAAAUAAUUAAAUCUUGAUCUUUUGCUACAGCCCUUCCUAAAUCCUGUUUCCCUGAGUAGGGUAGAGAUUGGAAUAAUUAAAUUUUGAUCUAUGCUGCAACCCUUCCUAAAUCCUGUUAGGACUGAGUAGGGUGGAGAUUGCAAUUUCCAAGCCCUGGUUCUGUCAUUCCAAGUAUCUCCAUUGUAUCAAUUCUAAAAUCAAUCAUGACUCAAAGAAAUUCCUGUUCUAUGCUUAAGCAUAGGUCAAAGCCCUUUCCAUUGUUCAGCAAAAGUUUUCUGUCCUAAAGUAAUCUUAAGAAGGGAGGAGGAGGAACCUCCCAUGCCAAUGGGGUUCACAUUCCAAUAGAGUUCCCACUCUCAAUAGGAAAUUUUUCAAGUAUGAAAUUUCCCAAUGGUGAAAUUUCCAACAUUUAUAAGUCUAAGAAAUUUUAAGGUUUACAACCCACAGGAUUAAAGUGAAUUGCUCUGGGUCAUACACCUAAUAAGUAUCUGAGGCUGCAUUGGAACUCAAGCCUUCUUGAUUCCAGUUUUGGCAAUCUAUCCAUUGGACUCUUUAGCUGCCCUUUCCUUUCUACCUCCAUAAAGUCCCCCAAUGUAAUAGUAAGGGCAAGAGAAGUCAAGAAAAAGAUUGGAGAAGACAGUUUUUAACAGAUGACCCCAUUAUUAUGAAAAAGUUAAAUCACAGAUAUGAGAAUAAACAGACUCUGUUAUAGGAUAAUCAGUUAAUUAAUAUUUAUUUUAGCUCUUAUUGUGUGCCAGACACUGUGCUAAAGGGUAGAGACACGGACAUCAUAAGCACAAGGAGAAAUGAAACUUAUGUCUAUCCUUUGGUAUUGAUAAGUAUAGUCUUGUUUUAUGAAUUUUAACACUAUAAACCCAGAUGAAUAUAUCUGUAUCAACACAUUGCCAUAAUAGUUUAUGAAAAUAAACUUACUACAAGAUAAAAAAAUAAAGGGUAGAGACAUACAAAAAAGGCAAAAGCAAUGUCAGCUCUCUAGAAGUUCACAAUCUAAUUGGAGAGGGAGCUGGUGGGGAGAAUCUUUAGGACAGUAUCAUUCUCAUUAUGACAUAAAGAAACUUUAGAAUAUUUCUUAACUAGGAGUCCAUGGAUUUGUUUUUUAAAAAUGCUUUCAUAAUUGUUUCAAUAUGAUUGCUUUACUUAAUAAUCCUAAGCAUUGUAUUUUGUGCAUUUAAAAACAUAAUUCUGAGUAGAUCAUGAAUUUCACCAGACUUCCAAGGGGGAUCCAUGACACAUAAAAAGUUGUCUAUAAGGAACAGGGGAAAGAUUUUAGAUGAUCUCCUCAAAACAUUAACAUAAAGAUAAGGAGUGAAAAGUAAGUUCUUGGUCAAAUGAAGAAAGAAAGGUAAAAGAGGAAAGAUUUUGCUAAAAGUAAACUAAAACUCCAUUUGAAAAUUGUCAUCAAUUAUAAAAAGGAUAUUGUUGUUGUUUUUCAUCUCCACUCUUAAUGGGCAAUAAAAUAUGUAAAAAUUUGAGGAAGACCAUUUAAUUAGGUGAAAGUAAAAGUUCUUUACCAUUCAGACCCUUAAAUCUAUAGUAAGGUCAUCAAGAGUCAUGUGAUUUAUAGCUUGGCUUUGUAUGAAAUACUAUAAUAUCAACUGUCUUGGGUGUCAUGCUAUUUGCCCUUACUUUACAGCUUUUGAUCAACUCAUGAGGUUGUUUAUUUCUUUUUGGUCCUACUUGUACAAUUUAGAUGAGUUGCCUGGUUGAUGACCUCAUGAACCAAGCAGAAAAAUGGAUAAUAAGACUAGGAAAAUUUAAGUUUUUGAAUAACAAAUUCACAUCUAAGUAAAAUUAAAUGCAAUGGCAGAGCAAUCAUAAGAUUGUGGAGCAGGAAGGAGUCUUAAUUACGAUCUAGUCAAACCUACUCAUUUCAUAGAUGUCAGAAAGCUGAGGUCCUAAGAACUUAGAACUCCAGUUUCAGAAUCAGGCAGACAGACCCAGGGAACAAACACGGUGUCACACAGGUUAAGUAAUACAUUAUUACAAGCUAACAUUCUUAUUUUGAACAUGUAGUCAUAUAUAGUUGUUUUUCGGAGAGAUCAGAAUAUUGUGGUAUAAAAUAUAAAUAUAAAAAAUAUGCAAAAUAUAAAAUGGUAUAAUUAAGUUGCAGAAGAUGAAGGAGGGGAGAGACGGUAGUAAUAGCAGCAAGGAGACAGCCUACCCAUUCUGGAACUUCCUUGGAGUAGGGUAUUUGAAUAGAAGGCACUAAGAUUUCCUAGUUGGCAGCUCUAGGGGAGGGAAAAGUAAAAAGCAGUCAGAGACAAAGACAGAAACAGAGAAAUAGAAACAGACAGACAGAGAGUCAGAGGAAAUGACCCAGAGACAGAGGCAAAGUCAGAGACACAGGCAAGCGCAGUUGUUAUUUAAACCAGAAUAAUGAAUAUCUGAGUAUUCCUGAACACGUUUCACAUUGCGUAUAUUAGCAAAUUUCUUCUGUCUUUUAAGUAUAAGUUGGCGGUGGUGAUGGUGGGGGGAUUCUCGUAUAUCUAGCUUUGCGAGCCCAAAGUCAAUGUCCUCAUUAUGCUACCAGAGAGUGAUACAGUAGGACUUCAUGCAUUAUCAGUAAAAACUAUACAAUCUUUUAAGAUAACCCUUGCUUAAUCCUCUUUACCCAUUUUCUUGCUUGCCCAGCCCCCAUGCAAUAGGAUGUGUCAAUAAAUACAAUCCAAAGAGUAAGAUGGUAAGGUAUGCAAUCUGUCAAAUACUACAUCGUUGCCUAGUAUUUCAAUUCAAUUUUUUUUUCAUCGAAAAAUAUUGGUGUCUUAAGAUUUAUACAGCAUUGCCUAUUGAAAACAGGUCCAACAACAUAAUUAUACAUGAAAUAAUAGUACAUAUAGAAUUUUAUAUACUUAUACUCAAACAUCAACUAGUCUAAAAGCCUUAAUUAAAUAUAAAAAUCCUUGUAUUUUAGUUGUGAAAAUAAUGGAGUAACACUUCAUUGUAAUGUAAUAGAACUAUAAACAUUAGAAUCAUUAGAAAAAAUAUACUCACUAGAUUAAUAUGUAAAACACUGAAUAAAAAUAGGUGUCUUGUGAAACAUACGCUGUCUACCUGAAGCAGUACCAGGGGGAAAAAAAGAAAAAGAAAGCCUAUUAUCUCCUGUAAACUUACUAUUAGAGCCAAGUUAGAAAAUGUCAUUAGAACAUGCAAGGUGAUGAUCCCUGGAGGGCAUAGAAUAUUACUGAAUCCUAAAAAUUGACUUAGUGAGACUAAUGAUGUACUCACCAAAAUUAAAUUGAUUUCUUAACCUUUGGCUUGAGGCCUGUAAAUGAGGGCUGAAAAUGUUAGAAAGUGUUGGGGGAAGGGACUAUUGUUCAGACCAAUAAAGUAGAAAUUCCUUCUUAUAAGAUAGGAAAUUGAGCCUCGGAAGUGAUAAAUACUUUGAAGGUAGAUUCAUAGCUAAUAAGUCAAUAAGUUACUUCAACCCUCUUGACUUUCUUUGCUCUUUCCACUAAACCACAGGUAGCAUAGAGCAGGGGGAAAAUCUGGCAGCUUCAAUCCAGUUACUUUUCCUUUUUUCUCAGGAUACAGCUGCAGUUAGCAAACAGCUUGCUGUACUGGAUAGUAAUAUGGUCUUAAGACUCAAAAAAGACUGAGGGUCAAGCCCUCUUGUUGCUAUAUAUUGAACUAUAUGACACUGGACAUAUUGGUUCACCUUUCAAAACAGUAUAAUCCUGAGCAAAUAUCUUCUACACCAGUGGGACUUCUCCACAUGUAGGAAAUCACAAACCCAGAUUCUCAUAACCUCCCUAAUGGCCUUCAUCUUUGUAUAGUAUAAAGAAUCUUUAAAUAUAUUUGUUAUGCCUCUCUUAUACUCUCCAAAAUAAGAAAGCCAAGUGGAUCAAGAUCAACAUCAUUAUUAUAUACAUAACUAUUUUUGUAUUUGGCAGGAAUCUGAAAUGUUUAGCAUUAAAAUGUGGUAAUAGACAUUGGGACCCUUAUUGAAAAAAGAAAUGGGGUGAGGGAUCAUUAUAGAAAAUUUUAAAGAUAUUGUGAAAAAUAUACUACAUGCUUUUUACAAUAUAUUUUUUUUCAAAAAUAUAUUUCAAAAUAUAAAUAGAUAGCUAAAAGGAUCAAGAAUAUAAAAAAUAAAAAAUGAAAUGUCAAAAUGUUAAGAAUAUUGCUAUCAUUUGGAGUUGCUAAAAAUGUCACAUUAUUUUUUAAAAGCAGAAUCUCGAAACAACAUCAAAGAGAAACUUAGAAGAAAUAUUAAUUCUACUUAUAUGCUUAUAUUGUUGUAGGGUGCCAGAGGUGUACCCCUAUGGUUCUGGAAGGCUAACUUUUGCAGGAAUGCAAAACUCUGAAACUUAAUUUAAAAAAUAAAAAGAGAAAAUUAUUAUUAUUUAUGUAUUGGAAUAUGUCUAUUCCAAAUUACUAAUUUGGAAAGUCAUGUUGAAUCUGGCCAGGAAGGCAGCAUAGGUGAAAGCCUGUGCAUCCUAGGUGGAACAGCAUAGGUGGAAAAGUUGCUCCUUGGGAGGAUAGCAUGGAUGGAAGAGUUGUCCCCCCAAAGGACAUCAGUUCUGGGGAUUUUUAUACUCUUUACAACAGUGAGGAAGUGACUGAAGCAAGGGGUUCAGGGAAGGUUUGCCCAAGGACAUGGCAUGGUUCUCAUUAUUUGAAGGAUAAGUGAAUGGGUUGUAUCUCUUUCUCUAUCUCAGCUCAAUGGGGCAAUCAAAGAAGGAUGAUCUUCAAGGUCAGAUGUUUUGGGUGGGGAGUCAUGAGGACCUAAGGGAGCAAAGGAAUUUCCCCGAUAAUAGUUUGCCUGAGUUUCUAGGGGUACAAUGCCAAUGCCAAUAUGAUAACUAGUAUAAACAAAUAAUCAUAAGAUUUAAAAAAAUUUAUACUUAAACAUUUAUUUUCCAUUUUGAAGUUGGAGAGUAUCUUGUUCUUAGAAACAUCCCUAGACAUAUAUAUUUGCAAAAAUUUGUCAAAUUUGCUAAAAAAUUCCAAUAUAUCUAUUAAAUAAUUUAUGUAGCUAUUCCCUCCAAAAAUCAAUAUAUCACUUUCCAUUCAUACUUGUUAAUCUUGAGUCACUAUAAUUCCAAUUUCUUCAUAUUUGUCUUCACUUUGCAACAGGAUUUUUGCCAACAUGAUGGAGGCUUUUCUGACCUUUUUCUAUACAUCAUAAGGACACCAUGAAGCAAGCAUCCCUUAUUCUUUUCUUGAAAUUCAAUAAUACAUUUCUUUGCUGGCAUCCUUUAUACAAUAUCUUUUGUUACUCCUUAUUUGUAAUGCAUUUUAUACUACUAACAUUCAUCAUGUACUUCUCCCUUUCCCUUUGGAUGAUCCUCAUUAUCAAUUAUUCAGGGAUUGUUGUGGUUUCUGACUAGUAGACAUUAAAAGAAACUGAUGUUGUUCUGUCCAGUUCUGGAUCAGAUUCCAAGGAGGAGAUACACAUGCUAAUGCAAUACACAAGAGGUACUUCAUUUAAGCUAUAGCUUGGGCCUCCACAAGAAGUGGAAGACCCCAAGCAUUGCAGAGGUCUGGUUUAUAUAGAAGGGCUAAGGGUGGGGGUCGGUCUUGAGAAUCAGGCACCAGAAGUGAAGACACAUCAAUCUUAUUCCCAGAUGCUUCCUUUUAACAUAUGGUCUGGCCAGUGACCUAGGUCAGUUCAAUGAACAUAGGGUCUUGAGAUAACAUAUCCUUAUGGCAGUACUCAUUAGGGUAUCAUCUGGAGGGAAAGUUCCCAUAAUAACAUUAUAUUUCUUCAUUCUCCACUUCUUUUAGGACAAUGAGGAAUCCUACUCAUGGGGACAGUGUCCACAUAGGGGCAUGGAUGUCGUUUAGGAGCAGGUAUUGCUGCCUUUGGACCAAGAGCUGGACUGUGUUAAUGUGCUACUUUACAAAGCCACAAGUCCACAGGGAUUUGUGAAAGAGCUGCUCAUACCAGGAUUUCUGGACCUCGAGUUCUUUCUUCCUGAUGGCCAGGCCUUCUCUUACUUUUAUCAUGGAAUCCCUAACUAUACUUGUGUGGUCUGCAUAAAAAUAGAAUUCUUCUCCUAGAGCAGCACAGAGUUCACCCUGCUGGAGGAAUAGAAGAUCUAGCCCUCUCAGAUAAAGACCCUCACUGUUAUAGAGUAAGACCUUAGGAAAAACAGUGGUUGGAGUCUAAGGAGCCUUUAGCUACACAGGGGUCAAAGCUGAAGAUGCACACAACCAUCGGGUGCCUUCAGGUGGGAGAAGGUAUUUACUGUCUCUAGGAGUCAUGAGGAUGUAAGAGAGCACAAGAAUUUCCCUGAUAAUAGUUUGCCCGAGUUUCUGGGGGUGCAAUGCCUAUGUCACCUCCCCCCUCUCCAAAUAUCUAAGGGAAAAGGGGCAAUGGUCUCAAUAUUCUGUAGCUUCUUCAGAGCUGAGAAUGGUUGUAGAGCUGUCGCUGUCUCUGACUAUUGUCAGGAGAGAGAGAUAUUGUCUGUAGGCAAUUUCCAGGGCUUCAGGCUGGAAUAGUUGCCGAGGUUACAGUGGCAUCUGGGUGGCUCCCAGGAAUGCUUCUACCCUAGAAUCAACUAGAGAAGUAACAAGGUGACAAAUAUAAGGUUCACAUAUCCCACAGGGGAGUAGCCAGUAGCCAAAACGUGAACAGGGACGGAAAGCCUGUGGACACAGGGUCUUUAGGGGCAUGUCCUCAGUGAAUGCCUGGGUCCUAGGUAGGUGGGGACCUGCUUAGAGAUCUGAAGGAUGUCUAGCGACUGCUUCUCCUGAUUGGGAGACAGGUCACAAGGGGGAGAGUCAGCCCCUAAGAUAGAAGUAUAGAAACCAGGACUGGAGAAAACACUAGAACACCAGAUAGAAACAGAGAAAAUUAGUAUAAUAGUAAUUGAUAUUACACAUUUGCAUUUGGUUAUCUUAGACAACAGACUUUUUCAAAAAUCACCUUCUGACAGGAAUUAUACCUUUAGCAAUUCGAAUUCCUGAGUUGUUUGCAGAGUUGGUGUGGGACAUUUCUGUUAAAGAAUAUCCUUUUGCAAAGUACAUAUUAUCUAAAACCAUCUAUAAACACUUGAGUAACAAUAUUUUACAGAUGUAUUUCUUUACCCCAUAUUCUGGGGGAAAUUCAAGAAAGCUCUGAGCUAUAUAUUCAAGCUCAAGAUCCAAACUUCAACUGUGGUAAAUUAAGGCUACAAAUACAAGCCAUCUAUUAAUAAACUUCACCUAAUUUUCAAAGUAUGCUCCCUAACAUUUUAAGAAUUUUCAAUUAUUAAGGUUGUUUGAGGAAAUGGAAACUUUAAUUUUACAAUUUGCAUUAUGUGCUUAUUAUGGGAAUUUGUCACAAAGAAAAAGGCUGACAGGGAAAAUAUUUCCUCAUGUCCCAAGGGACUCAUAGUGAGGGCUUCACAUAUAGGCCAAAACUAUCACUGGCUCAUGCCAUCAUUGUAUCACUCAAGGAUUAGCAGCCUAUAUGGUCAGAAAAUGUUCAUUCCCAGGUGAGCCCAGAGUAUGCCUCUUUAACCAUCCCAGGACGUUCUCUGUCCUUUGUGUACUUUGUCAUCAUUAGAUCCCAGAAGCCUUCUUUUUCCUUAAAAGACAAGUCUCACCCAUUUCACCUGAAAGAAAUUCUGCUCAUCAGCAGUCCAGAAAUAAAUUUCCAUACCCUCGAACAAGCUUUUUAUAUCCCUACAAGACUGAUCACUCAAUUAUUCUUAUGAAUUUUGGCAAAAAUUUAGAUAUCACACUUUAGUCACAAAACCUGAAAUAAAGAACAUGAGUGCUGAAUUGAGUAGCUCUAUAGUAAUAUAAAUCAGAGCUGUAUCAUCUCUUGGACCUAGGCUAUCUGAAAGACUAAGACAAGACCAUACAGGAAUCACUUCAGGGAUUCAGUCCAGAGAAAUUAAAGAAUCAUAUGUGAUUUUCCCACAACACAUACAUUAAUUUUAGAAAUUAUCCCCAGGUCAGGGAUCCAAUUAUAAAAGUAGAACAUCUAUCUGUUCUUUUUCACCUCCCUACGUGUCUCCUUCUUCCUCUCUCUCUUCCUGCAAAACCCUCUGCUUAAAAAACAGAGCAAGAUUUCCAUUCUUCCUUCCAUUGGUAUCACUUCAAUUGCUAAUCGGUAACCCAAAAGAAUUCUGAUUUAAAGGAUUACAUCAUUGAAACACUGCAUCUUUAGCAUAGUGCUCAUCAGUUAUAAGUUUUGAUAAUUUUAGCAUCAAGUCACAUAACAAUCAUAAAAUUCUGAGCAAGGAUUUUCACAUUUAUGCCAUUUUUGAUGCUCUAUCCACUCCUUGGCUACUGUUUGCCACCUAUAUCUUUAUACAGGUCAAAAUGUAAUCAAAAUAUCAACCAACAUAUUCCCACAGUUCAUGUGAGGUAACUUAUCAAUUACAUUUCACUCAACUCAUUUUAUCAUUUUGGACAUGGAAGGUUUGUAUUAAGAUUCCACAGCCUCAAACAAGCUUCUUGGUCAGACAGGGCUGGCAACAUUUGCUUGCUUGAACAUCUUAAAACCUCCAAAUAUAUAAUCAAAAUAUACUCAUCUUUAAGUUCUAUGACACAGUGGUUUUAACUCUGUGAGGUCCCUAUUUCAGUCCCUAAGUAUCAGUGUGGAACAAUUAUAAGCACUUCUUUCUCUUUCCUGUGUGUCUUUCACAAGGAAGGGGGUCAAUAGCUUGUGAGUAAUUUAUCCUAAGGCUGUUUGGCUCAAUUUAGGUUUUAGCCUUGUCUCAUCCUUCUUUAACAAAUUAACUUACUAUAAUUUACAAUUUUGAAUGUAUCAAACCCCCUUCCUAAUAAUUUACUCUCAGUGGAUUUUAGUUUGAACUCCAUAACUUCCAAAUAACUUUGAUUAAGUCCUUUAGCAAUCUUUCAGUGUGUAACCAAACAGAAGUGCAAAGCAUUUACCUGUAGUCCUCUCAAACUUCUCUCUGUGAGUAUCUAAUUUAAGAGUACAUAGAGACAAGAUUGUGACAAAGACGAUGAUAAACAGAAACAUCCCAAAAGUAGGGAUGUCUCACCAGUUGUCUUUCUGCUCAGUAUCAACCCUCUUUCUCCCUGCAGCAGAGGAGGAAGGCAGAUCUUAUCAAUGGACUGAUAGCUUCCUGGUAGAGAUUUUGGGCUCAUGCCUUAAAGACAGAGAAGUGAGCCAAGACCAAAUCUAAGGGGGUAGAUGUUUGUUGGCCCAUGAGUACUAUUAAAGGCCCAAAUAUAGAAAGAAAUACAAGACAAACAGUAAAGGGCAAACAACAAAUAGAUGUGGAAGACAAACAACAGAGAUAUAGACUUUCUCUGAUUUCAGGACAGGCAAGAGUACACUCCCCCGACCCCAGGGGCUUACCUUAGAGAUCUUAUUCCUCAGCACAUCUGGCAGCAUGGAAAUUUUUCACCCUCACCGUCCAACAGUGCUGCUUAGGACACAUUGGUCCUCAGAGGACUUGAACCUCUGUUGCAGGGACCUGGUCCUGGUCCCAAGUCCAACUUGGGCAGGGCGCCUCUAACCACCCCAAAGUUCCUACUGAGCACCCUUAACAAAUCCUCUAGAAGUGAAAUCUCUCAAUCUCUUGAAACAACACUUCUGCUUCUGGGCCAUUCCAGCCUGGCCCCUCGUGGGACUCAAGUAUUGCGUACUUGGCAGGUCCUCACUCAGAAACAGGUGAAAGGGGAUCUUAGUGGAUCUGGCUUGGAAGGAGGCCAUCUCCGUAUAAUCCACAGAGCACGGAAUCUGACAGCCACUUAGCCGUAUGCUGUGAUCCAGACUCUCUCUUCCCCAUACAUAUUCACACAGACAAACACACUCAGAUUUCCCUUCAGAGAUUCAAGUACCUUUACCACUGUGUGGUCCAAACCUUUGGAAUCCCGGACGAGCCCCCAAAUGUUCUGUCUGGUUCUGGUUCAGAUUCAAAGGAGGAGAUACACAUGCUAAUGCAAUACACAAGAGGUACUUUAUUCAAGCUAUAUCUUGGACCUCCACAAGAAGAGGAAGACCCCAAGCAUUGCAGAGGUCUGGUUUAUAUAGAAGGGCUAGGGGUGGGGGUCGGUCUUGAGAAUCAGGCACCAGAAGUGAAGACACAUCAAUCUUAUUCCCAGAUGCUUCCUUUUAACAUAGGGUCUGGCUGGUGACCUAGGUCAGGUUACAUAUCCUUAUGGCAGUACAUAAAUAAGGAUAUGUCAGUUUUAGUUCUUGGGACAAGGUGCCCUUUAGGGUAUCAUCUGGAGGGAAAGUUCCCAUAAUAGCAUUAUGUUUCUUAAAUGUAAAAAAAGAUUGGCCUUUUUUGGGGGGAGAUACUGUGAGUUGUUAACUAACCUUGAGUUUUACAAAAUUAAUAAGCUUGCUCUUAAUCUCCUCCUGUGCAAAAUGGGUUCUCUCUUUAGUCUCCGACAUACAUACAUACAUACAAACAAACAUUCAUAUACACAUAUGUGAGCUCUUUGGUUGUCCAAUAUAAUAUCAUAUUGAGAUAGUUGGCACUCUUUAUCCACUUAGUUUUUACUGUAUGGACAAUUCAAUAUCCUUUGAAGUAACUGUACAUCUUAUUCAUGGAGAUAUUAUCAUCCCAUUUUUAUAUAAGCAUAAAAUUAUUUCCCAAAUAAUCCUUGGUUUAAUUUCAUCACCUUAGCAUUUAAUUCUGCUGGUUUAUUAAUAUCCUCCUUUAGAAAGAAAAACAAAUCUUAAAAACUAUAAAUUUAAGGACAAUAUAAAUUCUUAUAAAAAAGUUUUGAUUAUAUCUAUUAAUCAUCAUUUUCACAUGUAUUUUCUAUUGGACAAGCACCUUAAAAUCUUUUAUUCUUUUGGACCCUUGAGGCCUUCAAUCAAGUUACAUAUGGUAAACACUUAACACUGCUUACAAAAGAUUGCAUCAGAGGCCAUUAACAACUGGCCUAAAAGUAAGCACCACUAAUUAUAAUUAACAUAACAAAUACAUGAAUAUAUUUUGCUAAAAAAUAAUACAAAUGUUCUAAUGAUUGACUGAAAGCUUUAACACAACCCCCAAGUUUCCUAUUAUGCACAAAAGGAAUGAUUUCUCCUGCUAACAUUUUAUAUUUCUGUAGCACUUUUCAGAUAAAAAAGGGCUUUCCUUACAAAAAUCCCUAUAUAUGGGGCAAGGAUCUUCAUUCCAGUUUAAAGAAUUGAGUUUUAGGAAGAAUAUAGAGUACUGAAUUUGGAGUCAUCAAAAACUGAAUUUAAUUCCUGUAUUGGACACUUGUUAGUAAGUCAGUCACUUAACUUCUAUGACUUCAAUUUCCUCAUCUGCAAAAUAAGCUAUUUGGAUUCAAUCACCUCUGAUAUUCUUUCCAACUCCAAAUUACCUAUGAGCCAAUUAUCCUUUUUUCUUCCAUACUCCAAUACUGCAGUGAAGCUAUGUUCUGAACAGGAGGUAGCUAGGUGGUUCAGGGGACAGAGCACUGGGCUAGGAGUCAGGAGGACCCAAGUUCAAAUCAUAUCUCUGGUAUUCUCUAGCUAUGUAGUUCUGGGCAAGUCAGUUCACUUCUGUUGACUUAAUAGAAUGGAGAAGGAAAUGGCAAGCCACACAAAUGUCAUUUGCCAAGAGAACCCCAUGGACAAUAUUUGUUCUCCAUAGCCCAAGGGGUCACAAAGAGUAGGAUAUGACUGAACCCCGAGCAGCAACAACAUACUCUCAACAAAAUAGGAGACUCCUACAUAUAAUCACUACAUGCCUGAAUAUAUUAAUAUGAUACAAAGAAAAAUAAGUUCUAUUGACUCAUUGCAAGCAGAGUAAUGGGAGAGGGGUACUUUGUAAUUUACUGUUAAAUAUUGCUACAUCAUACUUUUAGUGUUUUAGAAAGUAAUAGAAAGUAAGUUAUUGAUUGUUUACCUCAGUGAGGUAUAUAUUCUUGACAUUGUGCUAGAAUAAGGAAAAGUUAUUUCUACAAAACUUGGAAGAGCCAACAUAUGCCAAAGAAAAUUCCUAAGAAUUCUAUAAUGAUCAUAGGAACUAACAUAGAAAACAGUAUUUUGGACAACACUAGAAAUCAUUUCUAAAAUUUUUUUUCAUUUAAGUGAGGAAAAAAGAAAUGGGGUGAGGGAUCAUUACAGAAAAAAAUUAAAUAUAUUGUGAAAAAAUACUAUACACUUGUUACAAUGUAAGUGAUUUAUUUAGAAAGAAUCUUUCAAAAUCUUUAUAAACAGGCAGCUGAAAGGAUCAUGAGUGUAGAAAAAUAAAAGAUGAAAUGUAAAAAAUGUUAAGAAUAUUGCUAUCAUUUGGCAUUCCUAAAAAAUGUCAAAUUAUUAUUUUUUUUAAAAAGCACAAUCUAGAAGCAUCAUUGAGGCACUGAAUAUUUAAGGUAUCUCUGUCAUGCCUUGCUGUUAUAUUGCAUGUGUUGCUAACAUAUAUUUGCUUUACUAUACCUAAGUUGGCAACAUUUUCCUAAAAGGCUGGAUCCUGAAAAGGAACACAAUACUCUAGUUGAGCCUUAUGGAUGCCAAAAUGAAUGCUAAGAUCAAUAGGAAAACACAAAUGAGUCCCAAAUGAGUUAGUUACUCUAAAUUCAGCUGCAUAUUUAAAAUUUUCAAUGUUUAAAUGAGCUCUGAUGUUGAUUACAUUACUUCUUUGAUGCUUAUAUAAAUUAAGCAAGCAGUAUCUGUACAGUUUUGUAAAUUAGCAGUUAUCUUGUUAAUAAGCAUGUAUUUAACUACCAAUAUAGGCAGCUUGGUAAAUAUUUUGGUGGGGAGCUGACCUAAUUCUAUGGGCUUUAACUGACCUGAAAUUAAUUACAAAUGUUAGGUUUCUGUGACCACUAUUCUUUCAUAAUAAACUGAUUAGGAUAUUAUAAUCAAAAUCCAACACAGAGCCAUCAAAAAACAUUCAGUCAAUCACUACUCACAUAAGAUGGUCAACUGAAAUCCAAACUAACACUUGAGUCUGUUCACAUUACCAUUUGAUAAUGUUAUUCUGAUGGAAUUAUAUGCCCUGAGAUAUCAUAUUUUCUUAGGAAAAAUGUUAGUAGGUGGGAUAUGCCUGUAGUAAUUAAUGUUAAAAUUGAACUUGUAGGCUCCUUUGAGAGUUCUGUGCUAUUUCCCAUAGCUUUUUCAAAGUCCCUUUACUCAUCUAAGUCACAGUUUUCCCCUCUGUAAAAUUAAUGGGUACAUGAAGAUCCUUGUGUUACCUUGAAGCCUUAAUAUCUUAUGAUUUUUUCAUAAGAAAUAUCACAAUAUGUCCUGUUAUUCAUAUAUUUUAAUGGAUUCCCAGGAAGACUAAAGAAGCAUUCCAGAGAUUUUUGCAAAAUUUGUUUCAGUUAGAAUAAAAUGGACAGAAAUGUUUUCUGAUGCUUUUCCUUUCCCUGUUUUUGUUUUUUUAAUGAGGGAGAAAUAUAGAAAAAUGAAAAACAUUCAAGACAAAUCAGAAAUUAUGAAAAAUUGUAAGCAUAAAGUUCAUUAAUGAAUGUUUUCUGGAUAGUUGAGUCUUUCUACUUCUUUGGAUAAUAGAGGUUUGUAUGUGUGUGUUUAUUCUUUUAAGCUUACUGUUUGGGAAAUAAUAUUAAAAAGUGCCUUUUAAGUGAGAACCUCAUGAUAAUUCAAAAGGCUAUACAUCACAGAUACAACACCAGGCUCUGUUUUCCAUUAUAUGAUGCAACCUGAUGUUACCUGAUGUAGCACAUUUUUGGCAGCAUUUCAAAAAUACAAACAGAUGUUUUCCUCUUCCCGCAGGUGGAAGAUGGGUGGGUGAUCUACAACUAUCCAUGGGUAAUUCCAGAUGGCUGACAUUGCUACCUGCAUCUUUCUGUUAAAUGGUGUUAAGUAGAAUUGUGUUAACAUUAUCCUUUUUAUAGAUGCUGACAUCCUUGAGAUGGGGAAUUAGUUUAAGGGGUAUUCUUUUUGUACUAUGUAAAUUUUGAGUGGCAUAUGUUGGAAAUAUAUAACACAACAUAACAUAUUGGGAUCUAUUUUAAAUAUACGUUGUAUUUACAUAUAAUAUUGAGUUUUCUCUACAUGACAUUAGAAAAAAAUCUGGCAAUUAAUAUGUUAUUUGUACAUACACAGAGAGAAGCCAGAUUUUCACAGAUUCAUUUACAUAGGGCCAUUUUCCAAAGUGUGGCCUUCCUUUUUAAGUCUACAAAAUAAUGUGGGUGUACUCAUGGCUUAUAGAAACAAUUGUCUGCCAUUGGCCAAUUGCCCUUUAAUUUCAAUGAGCAAGUUGAAUACUUUUUUCUGCAUUUCAUCAUUUUUAGUUUAUAGAAUAACCUGCUAUCCCCCAAAAAACAAAAUCUCAGAAAAACUUGAGAACUAAAAAAGAGUGAUGUGCUAAAGAUAUCUUAAAUUAAAAUUUAGUAUACUUUAGGAAAUUACUUAUAUUAUUCACAUACUCUUCUAUGAGGCAGAUAAUUGAGAAAAAAAUUGGUAUGGAUUUGACUUAUCCAGAUAGACCUCUUAAAAAUUGUUUUACUAAUAACUUCUAAAGAAAAAGGCUAUCCACCACCAUAGAAGGAACUGACAACAUCUGAGUGCAAUCAGUUCUUCACCUUAUUCCCUCCAGGAAUACCUUUCUAGUAUAAGUGACAUGUAUCUUUUUUCACAACAUGAUGACCAUGGCAAUAUGUAUUAUAUAAUAACAUAUGCAAAACCUAUAUCAUAUUACCUGCCAUCUUUGAGGAGGGAAGAACAUGAAUUAAAAAAUUUCAGGUGAUUAUUAAAAAAUAUAUCAACAUAUAAAAAAUAAAUUGUCUUAAUAAAGACUUUUCAUAUGAGAAACUUGGAUCUCUCCUAUAUGCCUACCAAAAGACUUUCCCCCAUUUUUAGAUACGCUUCUACUUUUCAGUCUUCUGGAAUGCCUAUUUUUCUUCAACACAGGUGUCAACUGGAUUUUGGGAACCCCUGUCCCUUGGGACCUUACCUUAAAGGAAGUCUCAGACUGACCUUGUUUCAGACUGAAAAAUAGACUGUAAAGUACUUAAUGAUCCCAGUUUAGGUGGGACUAGUAGUCAUAAUCAAGCAUUAAGUAUCCUUUUUUGUUUUAGAAGCUUCUCCAAUUGUAUUAGAGACCUCUCUCAGGUACCCCAGUCCUUGGCUUGAAUAUUCCCUUUGUAUCCAUUGUAAGGCAUCCACCCCUCUCUGUUAUUCCAGCCCAUAACUCCUCAUAUCCUUGUAGCCAUUUUAAAGCCCACCAAUCAUAUUUCCUGGUCUUUAGGUCCCCCAAAUGUACAUAAGAUCCCUAUGUUCUAUUGUUCUUUGAAGAAUCAUCUUUGGCAGAAACCUUUCCUGAUCUCUCUCCCAGUUUUUAAUGUUUUCUAUCUCUUGAAAUUAAAUAUUGUUUCUUGUAAAGAUUUUGAAUCUACUUGCCUUUUACAUCUCUUCUAAUCCACCACCCCAAAAGAGCAUAAAUUAUUGAAAAGUAGAAACUAUUUCAUAUUCUUUUGUCUUUGUAGCCCAAUAUGUACCAUAGUGUCUUAGUAUAUAAUAGGUAUUUAGUCAGGCUUAACAAAUAGAAUCCAGUUUGCUAGUAUAAGUAGAUUUAUCUUAAAAUUGAAGUUUAUCCCAUGUAAUAUACAGUAGCAGUAUUAAUUAUGAUAUGUUAUAAAUUUAUAUAUUUAUAAUGUAUAUUAAUUUAUGUGUUGAUAACAUAUACAAAAUGGGAUCAAGUUUAUGAAAAACAGCAUUGCCUCAUGGAUGGAGAGAGUCAGCCUUAAGGACUGAAAGUCUCUGGCUUCAGGGGGCCCUCUCUGUCAUUUUGGGCAAUUUACUUAACCUCAGUGCUGUAGAUAAUUCUCUAAAAAACUUAAGUUGUAGAGAAGGUGCUUAUCUGCUUUGGAAGAGUGGAUUUCCUCACCUGGGAGUUCCUUACACUAAAGUUCACAGACCUACUACCUAUUGCUGAUCCUAGAAAGUUUAAAAAUGCUAUCUUCACCUCAACCUGGCAAGGUACUAUAUAAUCUUGUGAGAAAGGAAGAUCAUGAUUCAAUUACAGCAUGUCAGUGCAGCAGAGUUCCUCAAAGACAAUCUCCUAUCCAGUUACUUAAUAAACAUUACCUGGGUUUAAAGAAUACUGAGGAAAACUAGAGUUGAGCAUCUUGGAAUAAGAGGUUUUUUUUUUUGCUUUCUCCUGGGUCUAGUUCUACCAGCUUUAUAAUUCUUUGGCUAGAAACAAAUUAGAGAACUUCUGCAUAGGAAUCCUGUGAGCUUAUAUAUCAAUUCUUUAACUUGCUUUUAGUCUUGAAAAUGGACAUUCCUCCACUCCCCCAACUUGAUCUUCAACCAAAAGACCCACUAGUUUUGGGUUAGUAAUUGCUCUAUUAGUUUCCCCUUAUGGAAAUCACAUUAAAAGACUUAUAUAUAUAUUAAUUUAAGGUCGCCAAGGAAUUCAGCUAUAUAAUUCCUAAAUGAAAACUCAAGUCAGCAGUCAACCUUUUAUGGAGUUUUUAAUUACUAACAGGAGGAAGAAAGGUAUUGAGAGAGAGAGAGAGAGAGAGAGAGAGAGAGAGAGAGAGAGAGAGAGAGAGGGAAAGAGAAAGGGGAGAGAAGGGAAUAGGGCUUAAAUACCCCCUCUGCUUAGGCUUGGCCAAAGGCCCAAGGCCUUAGAUAGCCAAGGCAAAGAUAAGAGAUCAGUCCCUAUCACUCAUGUGACCAAAAUUGAGAAACAGUCUCAGGGCCUCCACCUCAAGCACCAGGCUCCCACAACCUCCUUUCCUCCACACAGGAAGUCCCCAGACUCCUCAGCUGUCCUCUAUCUCACUUCCUAUGUCUCCCCUGUGCCAAUGGUGGCUCUAGCUUAACCCAGGACCGCCCAGAGGUCUGUCCCCUUUGCACAUGUCUGUUGAAGGUCAUAUUCUCAAAUAAUUAAAUCUUGAGCUUUGCUGCAGCCCUUCCUAAAUCUUGUUACCCUGAGUAGGGUGGAGAUUGUAGUUUCCAAGACCUGAUUCUCUCAUUCCAAGUAUCUCUAUUGUUAUUGAUCAGGAAAUAGCCAAAUCCCAUCCUCUAAAGAAUAGUUUGAACAGGGUUGAGUAGUUUUGAAAUUCACACCCUCCACUCCUCUUCCCUUCCCUCCCCUCCAGUACUCUUGGUUUUGCAGUCUUUCUCCUUCUUCCAUUCCGUUUCCCUGCCUUCUCCUCUUCUCCACAUCUCCAUUUCCUUUUCUUUUCUCCUCUCCCUUAUUCCCUUCCACUUAUUCUUUUCCAUUAUUCUUCCUUCUCUUUAGUUAAACCCAAAGGGAAUAUUUACAAAGGAUUUUGAUUAUUCAGAGAAUCCCACCCACCUUCUCUAGAUGCAUUUAAAUUGGAGGUAGCCAGAUUGUUCAAAGGCUAAACCAGAAGAACUAGGUUCAAAUGCAAUCUCAGACACUUCAUAGCUAUGUGUGACCCUAGGCAAGCUAUUUUACCUCCAUUUGCCUUAGUACAUUGGCAAGGGAAAUGGCAAUCAUGCCAAUAUGCUAGGCAAGAAAACCUCGUGGAGAAUAUGGUCCACAGAGCCAUGAAGAAUUGGACAUGACAGAACAAGGAAAAGAGGAAAAAUCCUAGCCCCUAGGUAUCAGCAUGAUUAUUAUUCAAAUUCUGGUUCUAAUACUUCAAGAUUUCUUCCUGUCCCUUCUCAAAACACUUAACUUUUCAGUUUCCUUAUCCAUCAAUCAAAUGAUUACACUAUUUAGACUUCCUGCCUUACCAGGUUAUUGUGGGGAAAUCAUACUUUAAAAAAGUAAUUAUAAUGCAGUAGUAAGAAAUUUAUAAGCCCUUGGAAUUGGUUUUUGGGCUUAUCACAAAUCUAAAUAGUAUAAUAAUUUAAUUUUUAUUCUUUCUUUUAUUUUCAUUUUUUAUGUUAUUUUCUCCCAAUUACAUGUAACAUUUUUCUAACAUUUAAAAAAAUAUUGAAUCUCAAUUUCUCUCUCUCCCUCCAUCCCAACCCCUCAGCCCCUUUAGAAGGAGUAGCAAUCUCAUAUAGAUUUUAAAUUUGCAUUAAUGUGUUAAACUGGAAAAAACAGAGCUAUUAAGUUGUCAAGAAAAAACAAGUAUUCAAUCAGGAGAGAUAUAAUGGUACAGUUCUUUGGCCUCCAAACAGAUUCAGAGACCCACAAUCCACACAGAGUCCAAGACUCCGGCUACCAUUCCUUGGGAGUGCCACCUUGCUAGAUGACAGCUUCAAAGACCAUGAAAAUUGGAGAACUUAUAUACAUCUUGGGAAACUGAGGACAGGAAUGUUAUUGGCUUUUCAAUGGCUACAAAGAAAUGAGGAUUACUAGACAGGAUUAUCAGGGACAGGAUGAUGCUUUACAAUGGACUCAAAAGGGAAAUAUCCAGUGAAGGGCUGGGCUACCUGAGAAAGGACUUUGAUACUAUAGGAAAACCCAGUUGGAUAAAAAGGGUACUUAAUAUUUGAUUGAAUCUGCUAGCCCCACCUAAAUUACUUAAAGGUUUAUUAUUAGUCUGAAACUCUGAGUCUGGGAUAUACUCCUUUUAAGUGCCUUAAUAAUUACUUUGGUAUUAUAAGAAUCAUCUCCCCAUGUAGGGAUUUACAAAAUUUAACCUUAUUGAAUGUCUUUUAAUUUUUCUUUUGUUAACUGUUUUCUUAUAUUUGAGAGGCAAGUUUUUCAUUCAGCUCUGGUCUGUUCAUCAAGAAGUUCUGAAAGUCCUCCAUUUCAAUGAAUACCUAUUUUUCCCCAAAGGAUUAUUCUCAGUUUGACUGGUUAAAUUGCCCUCUGUAAAAUCAUAUCCCUUGCCCUCCUAUCCUUUAAUGUAGAACCUGCUAACUCUUGUGCUGUCCUGACUGUGACUCCACAAUAUUUGAAUUGUUUCUUUUUGGCUGAUUGCAAUAUUUUCUCUUUGAUAUGGGAGUUCUGGAAUUUGGGUAUAACAUUUCUGGGAGUUAUUCUUUCAGGAUUUCUUUCAGAAGGUAAUUGGUGGAUUCUUUCCAUUUCUAUUUUGUCACCUGAUUCUAAUUAUCAGGGAAAUUUUCUUUGAUGAUUUCUCAAGAGAUAAUGUUUAAGCACUUUUUAAAAAAAUUGUUUAUCAUGGUUUUCAGAUAGUCCAAUAAUUCUUAAAUUAUCUCGCCUGGAUUUAUUUUCCAGGUUGGUUGUUUUUCCUAUGAGAUAUUUCACAUUAUCUUUUAUUUUUCCAUUCUUUUGGCUUUGUUUGUUUCUUCAUCUCUCAUAUAGUUGUUAACUUCCACUUGCCCAAUUCUAACUUUAAAGAAAAGAUUUUGUUGAGUUAGUUUUUGUAUCUCCUUUUCUAUUGUAGUCUUAUGCUAUAAUGCAAAGUUUAAAUUCCUUUUGAGAGUAAUUUUAUGUUAAGAAACAUGGUACCUCUCCAAAUGUAGAAAGUGAACUGUUUGGAGAAGGUUCCAUGAAUAUGCCUGCACAGACCACAUGUUGCACCUGAAGAUCCAGAGUGAACUUUGAGAUGUGGUAAUUUGAACUGUAAGGGUUUGAAUGAAUUUGUUUUAUAUGUAUAUUCUUAUUCCUAAGGAGACUUCCCCCUAAUUGGCUUUUUGUCAAUGCACCUAGAAAUCAUUGGUUUUGUUCUUUUUUCCUUUUAUCCCCAAAUUAUUGUAAUUUAAAAGUUGGUUAUAUUUACAAGAUCCAUUGGAGAGACUAGUCUUCCACUGGAUCUUGGGGGGGGAUGUGUAAUUGGAAAUCUGUUACCCUAAAAACUGCCCAGGAGCCCACUGACUUCCUUUCAUUAUGUGGUGACAUAGACAGGGAAAUAUAUUGGGUGGGGUUCCUGAUCUUGCUAUUUUUGUUUCCUGGGUUGAGACUGUGUUAAAGCACAGGGUUUUUGAACAGGUAGAUUAGCCAUGGGCAUGUGUUUUUUAGUUUGUUACAUUUUUAUUCCUUUAUUUCUUUUUUUUUUGAAAGGUGGUAUUAAUUUUAUCAGUAAAUAUACCCAAUAGUGGUCAUCCAUACUCUGCUUAAAGUCUUCUAGUGAGGGGAGCCCACUAAUUUCCAAGACAACCCAUUUCACAAAGCCUAAAUAAUCUUUCUUUCUUCAGCUUGCACCCCUGCUCAUGCUUAAUUUUGCUUUCUGAGGCUAAGCAGGGCAAGCUUAAUCUUCCUUCCAAAUGGUCUUCCUUUAGAUAGCUGGAGGUAAUCAUCAUUCUCUUCUUAAGUUUUAAAAAACCAGUCAUUUCAACUGAAUGUUAUGUAGCAAGACCUCAAGACCCCUCACCAUUAUGGCCACUCUCCAUCAGAUACAUCAGUUUUUCAGUAUUCUCACUAGAAUAUGGUACAGAGAAUCAAAAAUAAUAUUCGAAAGGUACACUACAAAGUAGUGUAAGAAAAUGAGUUGACUAAUCUUUAUAAAAUCAGAGAAUUUCAGGUUUGGAAGGGACUUCAGUGGCCAUCUAGUCCAAUCCAUACACCCAAAAGUAAUACCCCACAAAACAUAUCUGGUAUAAUGCCAUCCAGAUUUAACUUUAAUACCCCAAAUGAAAAAGCACUUUUCUACCUUCUUAGGUAUCCAUUACAUUUUUGUUAUUCCUUUAUUUCUAAUGAUCAUUAAUAAA